rnacentral:tRNA from 1 species
UGGGGUGUGGCUCAGUGGCAGAGUACUUGCCUAGCAUGUGUGAGGCCCAGGGUUCCAUCCCCAGCACCACAC